ensembl:snRNA U7 U7 small nuclear RNA
GAGAAUUUGUUCUUUUAGAAUUUGUCUAGCAGGUUACUUCAAAAGAAGUAGCCCCC